rnacentral:lncRNA from 1 species
AUAAAACCAGGCUAUUUUUAGUGAUCUGAAUCAAAUAAUUAGGUGAUAACUUUUUGAUCUUGAUGCCGCAACACCACGCAUACACAUGCGACAAAUCUAGUGGUUUCUUCAUACUGGUUAGCGACUGAAAAUUUUAAGGGGUUCUAGACUGACUGUGGGUUGAGCCUGGGAAGAAAGAAGAAUGGUUUUUGGCUUGAUUGGUUUCGAUGCUUGAAGCAAGCUCAGUGCGUGAAAGACAAUAGAUCUGGGGCUAGUGGAUUGGGGACUACGACUGCAACUCUAGCUGGGUUUUAGUCUAGAUCUGCCACCGUGGGGUUGAACUAUGAGAAGAGGCUGGUCCGUGGAUGUUAAGGGCGGAGUGUCUAUGAUGGAGGCUUAACUGGGCAGAUGGUGUUGAAUCGGGUUAUGAGGGCAGGAGACAAUGGCUAUUGGCUUGUUCUGUGGUGAAGGAAUUAAGGGUUUGCAGUGUGGGUUAAAGGUUGCCUUAUCGGAAGAGGAGGUGUGGUGUGAAGCUUUGGUUUUUUGGAUUUUUGGUUGAAGUGGUUGAUGGGAACAAAGAAGACUAAGGUUGGGUUCAGCUUUGAAGAAGAUGGAGAUGAAGGAUAUGGUCUUGUGAUGAGGGUCGUUGCUGUCACAAUGUAAAACGACAAAGGGACAGUGGGUGAGGAAGAGAAAGUUAUGGUUGGCUUUGAUUGGGAUGCUGUCAGUGGUGGUGGCGGCUGAGUUAGGCGGCAAUGGUGACUUCACGGUGAGAAGAUGGUGAUUUUGGUGGCACUGUUAUGGUAGAGGAAUGGACGCAAGACUAUGGUGCUAGCUAGCAGGCAUGGGGAGCUGUGGGUAGCUUAGAUCUUAUUGUAUAUCAAAGGAUGAAUGGUUCUUACGAAGAAGAAACAACAGUGGCUAAGAUUUCUUUUUGCGUAUUUUAUCUCUAUCCUGGGUUUCUUUAGCUAUUAGUUAGUAUCUAUAUUUAUAAUACAAGAGUUCAGAAUACUUAAGAGUUCAAAGUCC